rnacentral:ncRNA from 2 species
UGAAACUUUUAGGGGUGCUGUUGUUGUAGAAACAAAGGCUGAGAAAAACCCUCAUAACCUGAUACAGAUAAUACUGACGAAGGGAAAAAGUGUCGAAUCUUA